GUUUGGAAGAUGCGGGUGACAGCUGCACAACAUCGUGGAUGUACAAAACGCACCUGAACGGUACACUGUAAAAUGGAUAAAAGGGCCAAAAGUCCACAGAGGCAGUCCUGAGGCUGCCAAUCACGAAGCCCCACCCACCACGCUGGUGAUUGGUCCUCCGGGGAGUGGUUUGAACAGCUGGUACGGGGAGCCACCCCCACGCUCGCUCGGAUUGGGUGACCAGCCAGCACUUACCGAGGCGGGGCAUCGGACCAGCAGCUCAACUACCAGGCGGAAGGGCCAGCCUGGGGCUUUCAAGCGACCCCUUGGGAGCCAGGAUUUGUC